rnacentral:rRNA from 1 species
UACGGAGGGAGCUAGCGUUGUUCGGAAUUACUGGGCGUAAAGCGCACGUAGGCGGCUUUGUAAGUUAGAGGUGAAAGCCCGGGGCUCAACCCCGGAAUUGCCUUUAAGACUGCAUCGCUUGAAUCCGGGAGAGGUGAGUGGAAUUCCCAGUGUAGCGGUGAAAUGCGUAGAUAUUGGGAGGAACACCAGUGGCGAAGGCGGCUCACUGGACCGGUACUGACGCUGAUGCGCGAAAGCGUGGGGAGCGAACAGG